rnacentral:tRNA from 1 species
GCCGAAAUAGCUCAGUUAGGAGAGCGUUAGACUGUAUAUCUAAAGGUCCCUGGUUCGAUCCCGGGUUUCGGCA